AUGGCUUCCUCAACCGAGAGACCCCACAAUUCAAUAGGAGCAGAGGAGAAGCGAACUGUGAAGGCCCGGCUCCUGUCUUCACAGAUGCUUCUAGUGGAUGCCCUCUAUCACCUGGGCCCUCUGCUAGACAGUGUUAUAUCUGCAGGGCUGCUCUCUAGAGAAAACCGGUAUGAAAUUGAUGCUGAGCGAACGCCGCCCAACAAAGUCCGAAAGCUUCUGGAGAUUGUUGACGCACAGAUGGACGAAAGUGGUGCCUCUAGUUUCAUGGAGUGUCUGAGGAAAUGCAAGAAACAUUACCCGCGUCUACGAACCUGGUUGACCUCAGAAGAAGAUCACUCCCAACCCCCAGAUAUUAAGCAAGGUCCAACAGAACGUCAGCUACAGGCCCAGUUUAAUGUUCUGUGCUCACGCUUGGGCUGUUCGGUUCUGCCGGUCUCCUACGAUCUCUUCUCCAGAGGCGUCCUGACUCAGCUGGAACUGGAGAAAAUCCAAGCAAUACUCGUCCCAACGCAGCAAGCACAAACUCUGCUGUCCAUCUGCCUGAAGAAAGGAGAAAAAGCAUGCACAAGCUUUUACACAGCGCUACAGAAUGAGGACGAGCAACUUGCUGAGGAACUUAAUAUAAAAAGUUUGGCUGAAGACCUUAACAAAGAUCCUGAAGGCAGAAUCAUUCCGAUAGCAGUGGAGGAAACUAGAGGUCACUUGAGAGGAGCUUUACACCUGUCAGGAGGCCUGCAGCAGGUCAUGACUCAGCUGGGCUUGACUGUGGGGGAUGAGAUUAGGUUUAAUGUCUGUGAGGUUGGUGUGGCGGUGGGUUUGCCACGCCGGACGGUCAGAGAGUACCUUCUGGAAGGGGUUGGGAUUGAAGACUCAGCCCAGCUGGAGGCCCUAGUGUCCCUGUAUAUAGAGAAGACACAGGACGCUGACAGACUCCUGAGCAGAGUGACACAACUCAGCCCUCGGUGGGUCCAGGUCUCAGAGAGGGGAUGUCUGCUGUUGAGGUUGCUGCAAAAAGCCGAGACUGUUCUCCGUAGUGGUAUCCACAGUCACCGGCACAGUUGGGACCACCUGCACGAUGAGGACCACUUACGCAGCUGGGACCACUCGUGUCCUGAUGACUGCACGGAUCAGCGCACUGUGUGGGCCAUCUUCAGCUUUCUGGUGUGGGACUGCAUGGCAGAGGUUCUGGAGGAGCCGGAGGCGAAGCCUAGCGGAGGCAUACUAGGUAUGAUCGAGCAGCUGAGCACCAGCGGCAGAGUGGAGGCCGCACUGCUGCAGGAAAUGGAGCAGUGCUGGACCGACGGGGACGCUGAGAGUCUGCUGCAGAGUGUGAGGGUCCUCGCUCAGGUGCUACGGGACCUGCAUCCCCUCCAGGAAGGCCUCCAGCUGUCCUCUUCAGUUGAGGGGUUGUUUUCCUGCAGGCCCAGCAGGGUACACCGGGUCACUUCCUUCCAGGGGGUUUCUGUGCGGGUCAUCCGUAAAGCUCUGAGCAGCAUGGUUCCAUCCUCUGCGGACCAGGACACAACUCUUCUUUCUAGACAGUACUUGGAGGUGUGCGUUCGAAUCGCACGUCUCCUAGAUGUAGUGCAGCCCAAACGAACCACUGUUGACUUUUCAAAUGCGCCCAUUGCUACGGUCAUUCAGCAUGUGCGGUUUGUUUUGUCAAAUCCUGCUUUUAACUCUGAAGCUUUUGACGCGGGAGUUCGCCAUCGCUUACUUUCAGUGUUGGAGUUCAAUCCUGCGCAGCUGGGCUUGGGCUCUCUCAUGCAGCUCCACCAGGAGACCCUCUCCGAAUUCCAGAGCUACUUACAACUCGGCGAGCACCACAACUUCCAGUUUAUUCUCGAAUCAGUACGAAUACUUGGUCCCGCGAAGUUGUUUUCUCUCAGCAGGGUUCAUGGGCCUGUCGCAAUCGACAAUGGAGUGGAGGAGGUCCUUCGUUUUAUCACGUCAGAACCCACUUCAUUCCUGGUACGACUGCACUGCCUUUGCUACGAAGAAGGAAGGGGGCACUUUAAGGUGUGUGCACCACGUUGUGCAUGUAUGUAUCUGCUCAAGGCAGAAGGGCUGCGUGACAUGCAGUGGUGCGGUGGCAACGUUCUGGCUGAGGUAGGCGGGAAAGUGUGGGUCAGAGAGGGAGAAAGUAAUGGCUGGGAUGAGCUCCAGGCGCUGGCUCAGAGACACUCUGCUCAGCUCAAGGAUGAAGGAUGCUGCUUUAAGGUCGAGACCUCUGGAUUGGAGUGCGAGGUCAAAUUUAUAUACAGGAGUGGCAGGCUAUGGGCAGUGCCACAUAGGGACUGUGAGGUAGUUUGA
ensembl:lncRNA